GUAGCAAGGUAAGUGGGCUUGAUUGUGUGGAAAACUCCACAGUUAAGCGCGCUUGACCCAGAGGCGUAUUGGUAUGGGUUACCACCUGGGAAGUCCUGGGUACUGGGUGCA
rfam:Picea glauca, whole genome shotgun sequence.